rnacentral:rRNA from 2 species
UUUAAUGAGAGUUUGAUCCUGGCUCAGGACGAACGCUGGCGGCGUGCCUAAUACAUGCAAGUAGAACGCUGAGGUUUGGUGUUUACACUAGACUGAUGAGUUGCGAACGGGUGAGUAACGCGUAGGUAACCUGCCUCAUAGCGGGGGAUAACUAUUGGAAACGAUAGCUAAUACCGCAUAAGAGUAAUUAACACAUGUUAGUUAUUUAAAAGGAGCAAUUGCUUCACUGUGAGAUGGACCUGCGUUGUAUUAGCUAGUUGGUGAGGUAAAGGCUCACCAAGGCGACGAUACAUAGCCGACCUGAGAGGGUGAUCGGCCACACUGGGACUGAGACACGGCCCAGACUCCUACGGGAGGCAGCAGUAGGGAAUCUUCGGCAAUGGACGGAAGUCUGACCGA